ACGAACGCUGGCGGCGUGCUUAACACAUGCAAGUCGAACGGAAAGGCCCUGCUUGCAGGGUACUCGAGUGGCGAACGGGUGAGUAACACGUGGGUGAUCUGCCCUGCACUUCGGGAUAAGCCUGGGAAACUGGGUCUAAUACCGGAUAGGAGCCAUUUUUAGUGUGAUGGUUGGAAAGUUUUUUCGGUGUAGGAUGAGCUCGCGGCCUAUCAGCUUGUUGGUGGGGUAAUGGCCUACCAAGGCGGCGACGGGUAGCCGGCCUGAGAGGGUGGACGGCCACAUUGGGAAUGAGAAACGGCCCAGACUCCUACGGGAGGCAGCAGUGGGGAAUAUUGCACAAUGGGCGCAAGCCUGAUGCAGCGACGCCGCGUGGGGGAUGACGGCCUUCGGGUUGUAAACUCAUUUCGCUAGGGACGAAGCUUUUUGUGACGGUACCUAGAUAAGAAGCACCGGCUAACUACGUG
rnacentral:rRNA from 1 species